GGUAGGAACCGCGCCGAGAAGCAGCGGCAGAGGGAACGCCCCGGGGCACCCGACCGAGGCGCUCACGCUUCGCCAGGCCGAGACCUGAAUCCAACCCCACACCCGCUCUCCCGGAGCGGUGCGGGAAGUUUGACAACAGGAGGCAUUCAAUAAAUGCACAUCAACGAGGGAAAGCAUGUAACAAUAGAAAACACACAAGCAUUAGCAGCACGCGGCUAAAGAGCGAGGAGGAAGGGAGGAAUGUACAGGUGCUGCUGUGUCCCGAAUUAAGCAGGGCGGUUUGGAGAAGACUUCACAAAUGGAGCCAGUUAAUGAAGCAAGCGGAAGGAAUAUCGUUUGGCGAGGAUAAGAUGAAUGGAGACCCUCUCGGGGAAGGAGGAGUCUCCCCCAAACAUCCUUGAGCUCAGUCUGUCUUGAAAAACCAGUUGAUAUCCUGAACAGAAUGGGUCUGGAGAAUGAGGCCCCCACUUCCGGGGCCAGUUCGAGGACUAUCUAGCUGUGUGAUCUUGGGGAAGUCUCUUGGUCUCAGAUGGUGGUUGAACUAAUGACCUUUUAUG
rnacentral:lncRNA from 10 species